ensembl:lncRNA
CUGGGCAACAGCCAGAGUCUGUGAGACCGGCGGCGGUGGCUGGUGGGCUGCUGCCCUAUUCGGGAUUCUCUUCGGAAGCCUCCCGGCGUUCUGAAUGCUGGGUGGGGCCUCUCUGCUAAUGGCGAGUAGAGGCUUUCCCUGCCGCCACUGGUGUGGGACCCUGGAGUUUCCCCCUGGGCUUAGGUGUAAUCUUGGGGGGCUUAGGUAGGGCUGUAGUCACCUGUUUCCACUGUCGCUCCUCUGGUGUGUGCACCCUCCUGCCCUUGGUGCGUGGCGAUGUUAUGGGGGAGUCCGCUGGAAGAAAGCCGCUUGCAGGAUCCAAGAGUCUCUGGAACUGAUGCAACCUCAGGGCAACUAACAGACAAGUCUCAGCUAAGGAACAAUCAGCCAUAGGCUUUCACAGCCCUCUGUGUUUAUGGGCCAAAGCAACAAGGAUCUAAAAAAGAUUGGAUUGUGGCACCCAGAAGUUUCCAUGUGAGGGGCCCAGCAACAUUUCAGUAAGAGAAUGACUUAAGGAAGUGUCUGAGGCAUAGUCUGAGAAAGGCCCCAAAUGUAACCUAUUAAGGAUUUCAGAAAGUUACCCAGUGAAGGUUUUAGGGGCUGAUUCUGCAGAGGAGAUAAAAAAUGAUUUGUUUGGCUUGGGAAAUGGCUUAUCAAUGUGUUAAUAAAAAACCUAGACUGGAAGCAAUUAGAAAAUGCCUUGAAGGUUUACUUUGGCAAUAAGCUGAGGCAGGUCUAUCACAGAGGGAUCCCUGCAGAUGUGUAUUGUUCAUGGCUUGCUGCAACUAUAUAUUGCCCCCUCCUGGGAAGUCCUAUAGCCACUUGGAAACCAGAAAUUUGGUACCCUCAGUGAAUCAGGAACAUUGCCUGAAUACCUUUUAGAAGCUUUCUUUCUUUGAUAUAGGCAUUAGACAAGCACUAGGAAGCCCAGAUUAUAUGGUUUUGGUUGUGGCAGAGGUAGAGCUUACCUCUCAAAGUCCUUGAAUCCAUAAAACUAUCAAGUUGACAGAGACCCAAUCAUGGCCCCUUCCCCAGGGCCCUUUCUCUCUUAGCCACCCAUGUUUCAUGGAUGGCUAAGCUGAGAUUGCUUAGCUCUUUGAAGGAAACCCUUAGGCAGGUUGAAAGACAAGCCAGUCACAAAAAACUAAGUCAACAUUCUGUAUAGUCCUCUUCCUGUCCCCUCAGCUGUGAGCAAGGAAGCACAGACGGCCCUGAGAUGUUGGUCACGGUUCACACAGGACCUUUAGCCUGAGAAGAACAGAUAAACUUUUUGGCUUCUCACACCCAUCAUCAUGGACAAAUCAAGGCAGAAUGGGACGGUAUUGGGGUCAAGAGAGGCAGUCCAGAGUCACUCCAAGUGAAACACUGGCAGGAUAUGACCCAAGGGAUGAAAGUAGAGUUGUAUCCCGACAGAAUCCAGCCAUGCAGGAGCAGUGCCCCAGAGGCAGGGAAUAGAGAGAAUGUCUGGAGGGGAUCACCACAGCAGACCUGGAUCCCAAGAGGGGAACAUCUUCUUGGAGUUUCCACUUUAGGAAAAAGAUGUUGGAGAUUCCUUUACCGGCCAAAGAGUCCAGGGAGAGAGUGAAGUCCAAGAAGACUCCAGCUCCUAAGCCCACAAUUGGAAAAUGUUCUGAGAGUCAGUGAGCUGGAAGAUGCCCAGAAGCUAAAGGGCUACUGGAGUGGUCAAGGGGCUCCAGUGACCAAGGCAUGCCCCCACCACCAAGUGCUGGUUGCCCAAGAUUUGGGAUGGCCAAGCCUUAAAGAACAUAUUACUGUCAUACAAAUGAGCUAGUGAUUUUCGUAGUACUGUCAUUUGCAAAAUUACACACACACACACACACACACACACACACUACUGUAAAAGAACUUAGGUGCUUGUCAAAGAGAGAAAACCCAAUAAAGACCCUGUUCCCCAAGACAUGGCUGAACCAGUGUUUCUUCCAGCUCCUUUACUAUCUUGACUUUUCUAUAGCCGUGUGUAUAUGUGUGUGCAUGUAGGGUUACACAGGUAUUAAAGGACCAUAACCCCCCAUGCAACCUCCAAG